GAAAAUAGCUUAAAAUACAUAAUUAACUAAGAAAUAACAACAUAAAUGCAUGAGAACAAGCUAACUCAGUUGCAUAAAUAUGCUGCUAUCACCCGUGCACUCCACCAAUCCUAUCCCUUCCCUCUUUGCAACAACCAAUUAGAAAAAGCAAAAGAAAAUAAUUCUCUUCCUUCUCUCUCUCUCUCUCUUUCUUUCUCUCUCUCUCUCUCUCUCUCUCUCUCUCUCUCUCUCUCUCUCUCUCCCCCG
rnacentral:lncRNA from 1 species